rnacentral:rRNA from 1 species
UACGGAGGGGGCUAGCGUUGUCCGGAAUCAUUGGGCGUAAAGCGCGUGUAGGCGGCCAGAUAAGUCCGCUGUGAAAUCUCGAGGCUCAACUUCGAGCUGUCGGUGGAAACUGUCUGGCUAGAGUCCGGAAGAGGAGAAUGGAAUUCCUGGUGUAGCGGUGAAAUGCGCAGAUAUCAGGAAGAACACCCGUGGCGAAGGCGGUUCUCUGGGACGGUACUGACGCUGAGACGCGAAAGCGUGGGGAGCGAACAGG